AGUGAACGCUGGCGGUAGGCCUAACACAUGCAAGUCGAACGGCAGCACAGUAAGAGCUUGCUCUUACGGGUGGCGAGUGGCGGGCGGGUGAGGAAUACAUCGGAAUCUACUUUUUCGUGGGGGAUAACGUAGGGGAACUUACGCUAAUACCGCAUACGACCUACGGGUGAAAGCAGGGGAUCUUCGGACCUUGCGCGAUUGAAUGAGCCGAUGUCGGAUUAGCUAGUUGGCGGGGUAAAGGCCCACCAAGGCGACGAUCCGUAGCUGGUCUGAGAGGAUGGUCAGCCACAUUGGAACUGGACCACGGUCCAGACUCCUACGGGAGGCAGCAGUGGGGAAUAUUGGACAAUGGGCGCAAGCCUGACCCAGCCAUACCGCGUGGGUGAAGAAGGCCUUCGGGUUGUAAAGCCCUUUUGUUGGGAAAGAAAAGCAGCAGGUUAAUACCCCGCUGUUCUGACGGUACCCAAAGAAUAAGCACCGGCUAACUUCGUG
rnacentral:rRNA from 1 species